rnacentral:hammerhead_ribozyme from 1 species
CUCCAGAGACGAGUCCCAUAUAGGACGAAAUGCGCAUCCCGGAU